AGUCACUGACAUUAGACUACCCGGUAGUCCAGGGUGUAAACGCUGCAGACUUGGUGUUGGAGGCCCGUUUGGGGGCAUUCAGUGCCGGAGAGAAGUUGUUAAGUCUGCUACGUUGGGAGUACGUCCGCAAGGAUAGAAACUUAAAGGAAUUGGCGGGGGAGCACCGCAACGGGAGGAGCGUGCGGUUUAAUUGGAUUCAACACCGUAAAACUCACCAGGGAAGACUGUUACAUGAAGGCCGAGAUGAAGACUCUGCUAGAUUUUCAG
rnacentral:rRNA from 1 species